UAGCCUCCUCUGAAUACCCUCCCCCUCUCAAACUCUCUUGAGUGUUCUUGAAACCCUAAUCACCUUCUCCCCAUUCUCGACCUAUAACUCACCGGAAUCCAUGGUCUUUCAAGCCGUGGAUGAUCUAUGCUCAUCUCCUAUCGCUCAUGUGUGCCCGACGCUCGAAGGUUUGAGGCUAGACCUCAAAGGUCUCCACCCAGACCUUCGCCAACAUAAGGUUUCCGCUAUCUCUGGCUUGGCUCCAGUACAUCUUAGCCUCCUGAGCCUAUUUCCAGCCUUAUCUGACUUAGAUCGGACAUUUUCGAGGCCUUUCUCAUUCUAGGGUUCAUCUGAAACCCAAGAUGCUCGAGGUUUUUUCUCCGACUCUCUUCAGAUCUGUGUGUAUUCAUACUUUACUUUGAGUUUUUAAAGGGUUUCCCCAAUUUUUCCUUUAUAAAAUUAUUUUUCUUUAAAAAUCGCCUCUUUCUGGUUUAGGGUUUUCUGAGAAAUGCUUAAAUGUUUUCCGACUUUUCUUCUUCUAUAUGUUUUAUAUUCUUAUGUUGUUCUUAUUCCAUAAUUUUUGUAUCUUUUUUUCUUCUUUCUACUAUGUUCUCACAUGUUAUGUUUCUAUGCCAUGUUUCUAUACUAUGUUCUGCUAUAUGCCUUCCACUAUGACAUGAUUUGAUUCGUCUACUGCAUUUUCAACCAUGUUCUUUGAGCGUUCUUGCUGUGCCAGCUUAAGCAUGUUUUGCUCUACUGUUUCUUCUAAUCUCGUUGUAUUUCACUCUAUUUGCAUUAAAACUCCUACUGUAUCUGCUUGUUUCCUCUUCUCCACAUUUGAUUCAAGUCAAAAACCCUAAGAUUUGGGGGUUUUUGGCGAGUUUUGUCUUGUGUGUUUGGACUAGGGUUCUAUUUGUGUCCUGGACUCUCUCAAACACACUAUGAACCAAUGCACUAAGUUUGAAUCCUUUUCGUGUGUGAUUUUAUCUAUACUAGACCCCUCUGAUUAGCAUGACAACCCCCUUAUAUAAGUUAAUCUUUCUUUAAAAGGUUUUUCAAGUUACGUUUGUAUUAGAAUCCCUUUUGUUUUGGGGUUGAUUAAUUUCUACUGUUUCUCCUUAGGUAAAAUACUGGACUCUCUCAAACUCAAUAUGAACCCAUGUACUGAGUUUGAACCCUUUUUGUGUAUGAUUUAUCUAUACUAGACCCCUGUAAUUAGCAUAACAACCCCUUUUAUAUGUAUUAAUCUUUCUUUAAUGGUUUUUUCAAUUUACGUUUGAAUUAGAAUCCCUUUUGUUUUGGGGUUGAUUAAUUGCUACUGAUUCUCCUUAGGUAAAAUCUUUUCCUUAGCCCUUCUGACUUGCUUGUUCAUGAACCAAUAGUUGCAAAUCUCUGAUUCCCUGAUUUCUUUGGUUUGACUGGUUCUUACCUAAUUUUUUUAACCGUAUAUUUCAACAUUUCUUCCCUUAAUUAAAACUUCUAUGUAUUUACCCCUAAUUUCCUACUUUACACGAACUGCUUGAUUGAUUUUUUUCCUUAAAUAACUCUAAUCAAUUGAAUCGGAAUUCCUUAAUUAAAGUAAGUCUUUUUGAUUUAUUCUCAAUUAAUAUUCAAUUCCUUAACUUAUUUCCUUGCUUUAUUUCCUACCUGCUUUUAAACUAUAAAUGCCCUACUCUUCUUCUUUAAACACACGAACAAUUGAGUUCCAAAAUACGCACACACUCAAAGCUCUCUUCUCUACUCCCUACUGAGCAUUCUACACUGCAUGAUGUUUGAACUCCUACGCAUUUGGGAGUUUCUUGAGUUUGUUCCUUUUUAUUCCUGGCUGUCUGUUUACUGCUAUUAGUCUGCUAUCCUAGAAUUAUAACUGGUAUGCCUUGCUAUUCUCUAUAAGCAUCGUUAUUCAAUUUCUAUGCUUCUAGCCCUUUCAUUUUUUGUUCGUUUAUGCUUUCCUGCACUAUUUAAUUACUUUCAAUCAUGUUAAUCCAUUUCCCCUGUCCCCUUUGUAUGUGAGUUUGUUCUGGGUCAUAACAGUAUUAUGAAUUGUUAUAUGUGAUUCAGUACUAGAUUCUUUGGAGUCUCUACUCGAUUGCUUUCCCCAUUCCCUUUCCCCUCAAUGUGUUGAGCUCUAAUUCGGGUUCGUUGAUGCGCUGAUCAUCAUUCAGGUCUGAAUUUGACACUUUAAGAGCCUGCUCUUAUUUGUUUGAAUCUGAGUGGGAGGAUAGGAGUGUGCUAGCCUAUGCCAUGACUGGGUAUGAGCACCUCAUGCUGAGGUUCCUCUCUCACUUUACACCUACUCCUAGCUCUUAAGUUCUAACCCCAUAUGGUAAGCCAUGCUUAGGGACCCUAGAGUUCCUUUUGAACUAGGAUGCUUAAGGGCUGGUAACUUCACACUUUGCACUACUCUGUUACAGCAUACAAUCUUCAGG
rnacentral:lncRNA from 1 species